rnacentral:rRNA from 1 species
CCUACGGGUGGCAGCAGUGAGGAAUAUUGGUCAAUGGCCGGAAGGCUGAACCAGCCAAGCCGCGUGAAGGACGAAGGUGCCAAGCAUUGUAAACUUCUUUUGUCAAGGGACAAAAUCAGGCUCGAGAGCCUGACCGAGGGUACUUGAAGAAAAAGCAUCGGCUAACUCCGUGCCAGCAGCCGCGGUAAUACGGAGGAUGCGAGCGUUAUCCGGAUUUAUUGGGUUUAACGGGUGCGUAGGCGGACUGUUAAGUCCGCGGUAAAAGCCCGGGGCUCAACCCCGGCGAGCCGUUGAAACUGGGUGGCUUGAGAUGUCGAGAGGUAUGCGGAAUGCGGAGUGUAGCGGUGAGAUGCUUAGAGAUUGCGCAGAACUCAGAGUGAGAAGGCAGCAUACCGGCGGCGAUCUGACGCUGAGGCACGAAAGCGUGGGUAUCGAACAGGAUUAGAUACCCAGUAGC